CCCAGUGCUCACUGCCCGGCUCCCAAACCAGCCGGAUGCAGCUGCACCUGGCAAAAUCCAGGAAGACUGGGAGCCAUGAGAGCACAGGUCAGGAGAGGGGGACGGUUCGUCACCCGGUGAGUGGGGGCCACCAAUCUUAAAUAGAAGAGGAUGAACAAUUGUUUCAGGACCAAAGUCAUGAUUACGGGGUGUGAUGUCACCCUCUGCAACCACAGACUCAGAGAAGCAGGGUCAUUUCCAAAGACGGUGAACCUGAGAUCCAGCAAGUCUGAAAUGGCCUCUUGGAUCGCCCAGCUGGAAGGCAGCCGGGAGAGGAGCUGAAUCAACGCAGCCCGAUGCUCAUACCUGAGCCUGUUCUCCCGCACCUGCUGUGUCGGGGGUGGUGAUGCCAGCCCCUUAUGACUGGGCCGUGGACGUGAGGGCCUCCGCCCCAGACACACUCGGGCAGCCCUUCUUCGCUUGGGUCCUUUUCCAAACACAGUCUUCGAGGUCUGACACCAGGAGAGAAGAACUCGCAGCUUGUUUUGUGGCUCGCUGCACGGAGAGAGGGCCACUCGGGCCACUGCCAGCCCGGACCCCGCGCUCUGAGGCCACAAUCGCCGCCACCUCAGCUCCGGAAACGGCAACACAGAUGAGAAAGAACCCGCAGAAUCCAGAAGACGACGAGAAUCCCAAGCUGCCGAAAAUUUCCUCCCGUGAUGAGACGCAUUCAGAACAAAAACGUGCAGCCUGA
rnacentral:lncRNA from 1 species